rnacentral:rRNA from 1 species
GGGUGAGUAACACGUGAGCAACCUGCCCUGGACUCUGGGAUAAGCGCUGGAAACGGCGUCUAAUACUGGAUAUGAGCUCUCAUCGCAUGGUGAGGGUUGGAAAGAUUUUUUGGUCUGGGAUGGGCUCGCGGCCUAUCAGCUUGUUGGUGAGGUAAUGGCUCACCAAGGCGUCGACGGGUAGCCGGCCUGAGAGGGUGACCGGCCACACUGGGACUGAGACACGGCCCAGACUCCUACGGGAGGCAGCAGUGGGGAAUAUUGCACAAUGGGCGGAAGCCUGAUGCAGCAACGCCGCGUGAGGGAUGACGGCCUUCGGGUUGUAAACCUCUUUUAGCAGGGAAGAAGCGAGAGUGACGGUACCUGCAGAAAAAGCGCCGGCUAACUACGUGCCAGCAGCCGCGGUAAUACGUAGGGCGCAAGCGUUAUCCGGAAUUAUUGGGCGUAAAGAGCUCGUAGGCGGUUUGUCGCGUCUGCUGUGAAAUCCCGAGGCUCAACCUCGGGCCUGCAGUGGGUACGGGCAGACUAGAGUGCGGUAGGGGAGAUUGGAAUUCCUGGUGUAGCGGUGGAAUGCGCAGAUAUCAGGAGGAACACCGAUGGCGAAGGCAGAUCUCUGGGCCGUAACUGACGCUGAGGAGCGAAAGGGUGGGGAGCAAACAGGCUUAGAUACCCUGGUAG